rnacentral:rRNA from 1 species
ACCCCCCGAAACUAGGCGAGCUACCCUAAAACAGCCCACAGAGCUAACCCAUCCCUAUUACAAAAUGGUGGAAAGAUUUUAGAGUAGAGGUGACACACCUACCGAGCCCAGAGAUAGCUGGUUAUUCAAAUAAACGGAUUUAAGUCCAACUUUAAGUUUAUCUUAGUAAUACUAAACAACCCAAUAAACUUAAAAGCCAUUCAAAUAAGGUACAGCCUAUUUGAACAAGGAAACAACCUACAACAUAGGGUAAUAUCUAAACAAGUGGCUAAGUAGGCCUAAAAGCAGCCAACUUCUUAAAAAGCGUCCAAGCCUCACCACCAGUAUUUCUAAUCUCACUAUAUAUACAAAACCCCCAACCACUACAGAAUGACCCCAUACACAUAUGGUAAACAAUAUGCUAGAACUAGUAACAAGAAGACGAACUUCUCCAAAAUGUAAACGUAAGCCAAAAUGAACCCCUCACCGGCACUUAUUCGCCAUAGUACCAACCACACAAGAAAAUCUUACUACUCGAAGCGCCAACCUUACACUAGA